rnacentral:rRNA from 1 species
GAUGAACGCUGGCGGCGUGCUUAACACAUGCAAGCCGAACGAUGAAGCCCAGCUUGCUGGGUGGAUUAGUGGCGAACGGGUGAGUAACACGUGAGUAACCUGCCCUUAACUCUGGGAUAAGCCUGGGAAACUGGGUCUAAUACCGGAUAGGAGCGUCCACCGCAUGGUGGGUGUUGGAAAGAUUUAUCGGUUUUGGAUGGACUCGCGGCCUAUCAGCUUGUUGGUGAGUUAAUGGCUCACCAAGGCGACGACGGGUAGCCGGCCUGAGAGGGUGAUCGGCCACACUGGGACUGAGACACGGCCCAGACUCCUACGGGAGGCAGCAGUGGGGAAUAUUGCACAAUGGGCGAAAGCCUGAUGCAGCGACGCCGCGUGAGGGAUGACGGCUUUCGGGUUGUAAACCUCUUUCAGUAGGGAAGAAGCGAAAGUGACGGUACCUGCAGAAGAAGCACCGGCUAACUACGUG